CAAACUUUGGUGUGUUGGAAAUUUGUCUGGCCGAAGAUACAAAUCCAGAAGAUCAGCCGAGUUGUCCUGCAUAGAGCUGCAAUAGCAGUUCAAGUGGAGAUUUUGAAGUGGACUCAGAUGACACCAUAAUAUUACAACACAGUCCUACAACAAGACGAAGACUUGAAGACACCUCUCUUGCCAAAGUGGUUGCUGUCAUUGGUGAGGAUGCAUCAUCCGUUGAAGAUCAUGUGAAUGUCCUGCAUAUCCAGUACAGCAAGGUGCGAGAGGAUAUACUAAAGAAUUACCCUUUCUUGAAGACAACCUCACGGUUGUUUGAUGUUGACCGAAUGCAUCCAUCACCUGUCAGUUUAA